GUCGUAACAAGGUUUCCGUAGGUGAACCUGCGGAAGGAUCAUUACCACACCUAAAGUCUACCGGCCUCGGCUAGUAGCAAUAAAACAAACGGAGAGACUGGGUAAAACCGGACUCGAAGUUUGUCGUCCCGCGGACCUAUAAUUUUAAUGGCGUCUCUCGAGAUGCCCAAAGCUGAUACCCGUCUUUGUUGGGCGCUGCAUGGCGUUCCAACAGGAUACUGAACCAUGAGUACUCAUAAUUCGGCGUUGCGCACUUCGGUGCAAUACCUCGGUUACGAAACAAUGUCAAAACACUUUCAGCAAUGGAUGUCUUGGCUCCCA
rnacentral:misc_RNA from 1 species